rnacentral:tRNA from 1 species
GCGGGUGUAGCUCAGUUGGCUAGAGCACGACCUUGCCAAGGUCGGGGUCGAGGGUUCGAAGCCCUUCACCCGCU